GCCAUUCUCUUUUAGUUGUCUUCUGUCUUGCCUAUCCUAUCAAUCAUAUCUGGUUUUCAAUUUGCACUCUUAGACAAUGAAAUUCAUAUGUGACAACCCUGAAAGAAGACUAUUCAGUUACCUAAUCAUCAUUCAUCCCCAUGAGGCAAAUCCCCCCUAACAAACCCUUCCGUGAAGCUUUGUCAGUGACUGCCAGCCUGAGAAAGAAGAUGAUGAUGAAAACCUCCCAUCAAAUAAUAUGUGCAAACAAGCAAACAAAACCACUCAAGGCUGCUUUGAGAUUGAACUCUUGGAGCUACUUUAUGUAAAAUUUCCUGUUCAAUGUGUUUUGAAAUGAAUGCCCCAAUUCUUCAGGGUAUGAACCAUAUCUUCUCUGUGCUAUUUAUAAACUAAGCUGUAUAAAAUAUAUCCCAUUUUUUUAAAAGUUGGAAAAUAAUGUGAUAAGUACCUGUAUCUAUCUACAUCUAUCUCUCUGCCUGAAAGCCCAAUAAAUGCAACUGUUAUCAUACCUACUGCCUUGUUACAAAUAAACUCUGACACUGAAAAAUA